AUGCAGUCGAACGGCAGCACGGGGCAACCUGGUGGCGAGUGGCGAACGGGUGAGUAAUAUAUCGGAAUGUACCCUAGAGUGGGGGAUAACGUAGCGAAAGUUACGCUAAUACCGCAUACGAUCUGAGGAUGAAAGUGGGGGAUUCGCAAGAACCUCAUGCUCAUGGAGCAGCCGAUAUCUGAUUAGCUAGUUGGUAGGGUAAAAGCCUACCAAGGCAACGAUCAGUAGCUGGUUUGAGAGAACGACCAGCCACACUGGAACUGAGACACGGUCCAGACUCCUACGGGAGGCAGCAGUGGGGAAUUUUGGACAAUGGGCGAAAGCCUGAUCCAGCAAUGCCGCGUGAGUGAAGAAGGCCUUCGGGUUGUAAAGCUCUUUUGUCAGGGAAGAAACGGUAGCCUCUAAUACAGGUUACUAAUGACGGUACCUGAAGAAUAAGCACCGGCUAACUACGUGCCAGCAGCCGCGGUAAUACGUAGGGUGCAAGCGUUAAUCGGAAUUACUGGGCGUAAAGCGUGCGCAGGCGGUUAUAUAAGUCAGAUGUGAAAUCCCUGGGCUCAACCUAGGAACUGCAUUUGAGACUGUAUGGCUAGAGUGUGUCAGAGGGGGGUAGAAUUCCACGUGUAGCAGUGAAAUGCGUAGAUAUGUGGAGGAAUACCGAUGGCGAAGGCAGCCCCCUGGGAUAACACUGACGCUCAUG
rnacentral:rRNA from 1 species